GACGAACGCUGGCGGCGUGCUUAACACAUGCAAGUCGAACGAUGAAGAAGAGAAACGCGAACUUCGGUUCAAAUUUCACUUCGGAUUAGUGGCAGACGGUUGAGUAACGCGUGAGCAACCUACCUCUUACAAAGGGAUAGCCUCGGGAAACCGUGAUUAAUACGAUAUGACACAUUCAUAAGGCAUCUUAAGAAUGUUAAAGCUACGGCGGUAAGAGAUGGGCUCGCGUCCCAUUAGCUAGUUGGUGAGGUAACGGCCCACCAAGGCGACGAUGGGUAACCGGCCUGAGAGGGUGAACGGUCACAUUGGAACUGAGACACGGUCCAAACUCCUACGGGAGGCAGCAGUGGGGAAUAUUGCACAAUGGAGGGAACUCUGAUGCAGCGACGCCGCGUGAGCGAUGAAUGAAUUCGUUUCGUAAAGCUCUGUUCUAUGGGAAGAAAAGGACUGUACCAUAGGAGAAAGCCCCGGCUAAAUACGUG
rnacentral:rRNA from 1 species